rnacentral:rRNA from 1 species
GAUGAACGCUGGCGGCGUGCCUAAUACAUGCAAGUCGAGCGAAUGGAUUAAGAGCUUGCUCUUAUGAAGUUAGCGGCGGACGGGUGAGUAACACGUGGGUAACCUGCCCAUAAGACUGGGAUAACUCCGGGAAACCGGGGCUAAUACCGGAUAACAUUUUGAACCGCAUGGUUCGAAAUUGAAAGGCGGCUUCGGCUGUCACUUAUGGAUGGACCCGCGUCGCAUUAGCUAGUUGGUGAGGUAACGGCUCACCAAGGCAACGAUGCGUAGCCGACCUGAGAGGGGGAGCGGCCACACUGGGACUGAGACACGACCCAGACUCCUACGGGAGGCAGCAGUAGGGAAUCUUCCGCAAUGGACGAAAGUCUGACGGAGCAACGCCGCGUGAGUGAUGAAGGCUUUCGGGUCGUAAAGCUCUGUUGUUAGGGAAGAACAAGUGCUAGUUGAAUAAGCUGGCACCUUGACGGUACCUAACCAGAAAGCCACGGCUAACUACGUGCCAGCAGCCGCAGUAA